AGAGUUUGAUCCUGGCUCAGGAUGAACGCUAGCGAUAGGCCUAACACAUGCAAGUCGAGGGGCAGCAUAGGGUAGCAAUACUUUGAUGGCGACCGGCGGAUGGGUGAGUAACACGUAUGCAACCUACCUACGACAUUGGGAUAACCCGUUGAAAGACGGACUAAUACCUUAUAAAACAGGGGCACCGCAUGGUGCUAUUUGUUAAAGAUUCAUCGGUUGUAGAUGGGCAUGCGCAUGAUUAGCUAGUUGGAGAGGUAACGGCUCCCCAAGGCAACGAUCAUUAGGGGUUCUGAGAGGAAGGUCCCCCACACUGGAACUGAGAUACGGUCCAGACUCCUACGGGAGGCAGCAGUGAGGAAUAUUGGUCAAUGGGCGAUAGCCUGAACCAGCCACGUCGCGUGCAGGAAGAAUGUCUUAUGGAUUGUAAACUGCUUUUUCGGUAGAGUAAAGUGCAUCACGUGUGAUGCAUUGCAAGUAUACCGUGAAUAAGGAUCGGCUAACUCCGUGCCAGCAGCCGCGGUAAUACGGAGGAUCCGAGCGUUAUCCGGAUUUAUUGGGUUUAAAGGGUACGUAGGCGGGGCGUAUAAGUCAGCGGUGAAAUUUCGGAGCUUAACUUUGAGCUUGCCGUUGAAACUAUCGUUCUUGAGUUUAGAUGAGGUAAGCGGAAUGUGUUGUGUAGCGGUGAAAUGCUUAGAUAUAACACAGAACCCCGAUUGCGAAGGCAGCUUACCGGGCUAACACUGACGCUGAGGUACGACAGCGUGGGGAUCAAACAGGAUUAGAUACCCUGGUAGUCCACGCCGUAAACGAUGAAUACUCGCUGUUUGCGAUAUACAGCAAGCGGCCAAGCGAAAGCAUUAAGUAUUCCACCUGGGGAGUACGUUCGCAAGAAUGAAACUCAAAGGAAUUGACGGGGGCCCG
rnacentral:rRNA from 1 species